ensembl:misc_RNA 7SK 7SK RNA
GGGUAUAAGGGUGAUCUGGCUGUUACAUCUGUCACCCCACUGAUCGCCAGGGUUGAUUCAGCUGGUCUGGCUGGCUAGGUGGGUGUCCCCUUCCUCCCUCACCCCUCCAAGUGGACUCCCAGCUCCAUCUAAGAGGAUUAAGUGGACUGCCUUCCCCAAUAGAGAUUAACCAGUCUUUCGUGGAGGGUAUAUGAGUAGCUGCACUCCCCUGCUAGAACCUCCAAAGAAGCUCUCCAUUCAAUACUAAAAUGAUAGCCUAUUUAAUAAAUGAUGGCUAUCAAUAUAGAAAAAUAGACCAGGUGACUGGUUUAAUUU